UACGAAGGGGGCUAGCGUUGCUCGGAAUUACUGGGCGUAAAGCGCACGUAGGCGGCUUCUUAAGUCGGUGGUGAAAUCCUGGAGCUCAACUCCAGAACUGCCUUCGAUACUGGGAAGCUUGAGUCCGGGAGAGGUGAGUGGAACUGCGAGUGUAGAGGUGAAAUUCGUAGAUAUUCGCAAGAACACCAGUGGCGAAGGCGGCUCACUGGCCCGGUACUGACGCUGAGGUGCGAAAGCCAGGGGAGCAAACGGG
rnacentral:rRNA from 1 species